ACGGGGCCCGCACAAGCGGUGGAGCAUGUGGUUAAUUCGAAGCAACGCGAAGAACCUUACCAGGUCUUGACAUCCCGAUGCUAUUUCUAGAGAUAGAAAGUUACUUCGGUACAUCGGUGACAGGUGGUGCAUGGUUGUCGUCAGCUCGUGUCGUGAGAUGUUGGGUUAAGUCCCGCAACGAGCGCAACCCCUAUUGUUAGUUGCCAUCAUUCAGUUGGGCACUCUAGCGAGACUGCCGGUAAUAAACCGGAGGAAGUGGGGAUGACGUCAAAUCAUCAUGCCCCUUAUGACCUGGGCUACACACGUGCUACAAUGGUUGGUACAACGAGUUGCGAGUCGGUGACGGCGAGCUAAUCUCUUAAAGCCAAUCUCAGUUCGGAUUGUAGGCUGCAACUCGCCUACAUGAAGUCGGAAUCGCUAGUAAUCGCGGAUCAGCACGCCGCGGUGAAUACGUUCCCGGGCCUU
rnacentral:rRNA from 1 species